rnacentral:rRNA from 1 species
GGACUACCCGGGUAUCUAAUCCUGUUUGAUCCCCACGCUGUCGCGCCUGAGCGUCAGUAACGGUCCAGUGAGCCGCCUUCGCCACCGGUGUUCUUCCCAAUAUCUACGAAUUUCACCUCUACACUGGGAAUUCCACUCACCUCUACCGUACUCAAGCUUCACAGUUUCAAAGGCAAUUCCAGAGUUGAGCUCUGGGCUUUCACCCCUGACUUGAGAAGCCGCCUGCGCGCGCUUUACGCCCAGUAAUUCCGAACAACGCUAGCCCCCUUCGUAUUACCGCGGCUGCUGGCAC